rnacentral:rRNA from 1 species
GACGAACGCUGGCGGCGUGCCUAACACAUGCAAGUCGAACGGGGUUAAGACUUCGGUUUUAACUUAGUGGCGAACGGGUGAGUAACGCGUGAGAAACCUGCCUUUCAGUGGGGGACAACAGUUGGAAACGACUGCUAAUACCGCAUAAUGUUAUUUGGGGGCAUCCGUGAAUAACCAAAGAUUUAUUGCUGAAAGAUGGUCUCGCGUCUGAUUAGCUAGUUGGUGAGGUAACGGCUCACCAAGGCGACGAUCAGUAGCCGGUCUGAGAGGAUGAACGGCCACAUUGGGACUGAGAUACGGCCCAGACUCCUACGGGAGGCAGCAGUGGGGAAUAUUGGGCAAUGGGGAAACCCUGACCCAGCAACGCCGCGUGAAGGAAGAAGGCCUUCGGGUUGUAAACUUCUUUUACCAGGGACGAACAAAUGAAGGUACCUGGAGAAGAAGCAACGGCUAACUACGUGCCAGCAGCCGCAGUAAAAC